UACGUAGGGAGCAAGCGUUGUUCGGAAUCAUUGGGCGUAAAGAGCGCGUAGGCGGUUUGGUAAGUCCGAUGUGAAAUCCCAGAGCUUAACUCUGGAACUGCAUUGGAAACUGCCAGGCUUGAGUGCGGGAGAGGUGAGUGGAAUUCCCAGUGUAGAGGUGAAAUUCGUAGAUAUUGGGAGGAACACCGGUGGCGAAGGCGGCUCACUGGACCGCAACUGACGCUGAGGCGCGAAAGCUCGGGGAGCAAACGGG
rnacentral:rRNA from 1 species